GACGUAGGGGGCGAGCGUUGUCCGGAUUCACUGGGCGUAAAGCGCGCGUAGGCGGCUCGUUAAGUCGGAUGUGAAACCCCGGGGCUCAACCCCGGGCCUGCACCCGAUACUGGCGGGCUGGAGGCAGGUAGGGGAGAUCGGAAUUCCCGGUGUAGCGGUGAAAUGCGCAGAUAUCGGGAGGAACACCGGUGGCGAAGGCGGAUCUCUGGGCCUGUCCUGACGCUCAGGCGCGAAAGCUAGGGGAGCAAACAGG
rnacentral:rRNA from 1 species